CUGUGUUCUUGUGCAUGGGCGUGGUUUCUCUCCCUAGCAGGCAGCGCCAGGUGUGUCUCAUCACACUAAUCAACCUCUCCAUAAAACCUCCGGAUUCCCAGUCACUCAUCGCCAGUUCAUACUCUCAGCCUGAGCGUUGAUUCUGCCGUUUUACCUGCCUGCCUGCCUCGAUUGUCUGCCUGCUUUGCCAUCUGCUCAUCUUCUCCUGCUGUUGCUGGUUGCCGCUACCCACCCUCGAUCUUGGGAGCCAUUCACCAGCGCGACGCAGACCACGUGGACAGGCGACUCCACCAUUACGGGAACAAUCGUUGAGACAAAGAGACAUUGCACCCGCCACCGCCAGCGCUUCUCAUGGGAACCCGGGACCCCAGCACUCCACUAUUCCUUUUUGCACCAUGGUAUUCUCACUGUGUCACAAGUAAAUAUCACUUUGAACUAUUUA